AGCUUCCUUCGGGAAAGCGGACAGCGGCAGACGGCGAAGUAAGGCGUAGGUAACGUACCCCGCGGACCGGGAUAGCUACGGGAAACUGUAGGUAAUACCGGAUAACCUCUGGUUCCGAGAGGAGUCCAGAGCAAAUGGUGAGAUUCCGCCACGGGAGCGGCUUACGUGGUAUUAGCUUGUUGGUGAGGUAACAGCUCACCAAGGCAAUGAUGCCUAGGGGGUGUUAGCGCAUGGCCCCCACGACUGGGACUGAGACACUGCCCAGACACCUACGGGUGGCUGCAGUCGAGAAUCUUCGGCAAUGGACGCAAGUCUGACCGAGCGACGCCGCGUGCGGGAUGAAGGCCCUUGGGUUGUAAACCGCUGUCAGAGGGGAUGAAAUGCGGGAGAGCUAUCUCUUUCGUUUGACAGAGCCUCAGAGGAAGCACGGGCUAAGUACGUGCCAGCAGCCGCGGUA
rnacentral:rRNA from 1 species